GCGGUUAACAAUAGAACAAAAUCAGGUCGUUUAAUUGAUUUGCUGGACGGUUUUUAGCAAAAGAGCCAGAAGGGAAUAAUAGUUGCCAGAUUUUAUGUAUGUUAUGUACAUGCGUUUUAAACAAGAAACGAGGCAUUGUAUUCGGAAUACAUUUAAAAGAUGAAGCAACUUGUACUUGGCUUAGUUGUUACACUUAUUAUUCAAAAUUUAACAGGAGUGUCAACUUUAAGAUGUUACAGCUGUGACUCAUGCAAUGACCCCUUUGGUGGAUCUGACAUUGUGACUUGUGAAGGCUCUUGCGUUAAAUCAAACAUAGAUGGUUUGAUAACAAGAGGCUGUUCAAAUAUAACUCUAGUAGCAGAAUGUUCACAAGAUAAACAUCUUGUGGUAUGUGUAUGUGACACGAAUCUAUGUAACAAGACGCAAGGAAAACACACAUUUUUGGUUGGACCUUACAUUGCCAGUAUUAUCUAUUUUCUUUUACACACUCUCGAUAAAUAUCAUAACUGACGUCAGUCAUAUUAGUUAUCGUUUGCAGUUACCGUUAUCUUUAAAUAUACUUUUUAUCAAAACGUUGUUUUCAACUUUCGCCAUUAUCAACGAAAUAUACUUUCAAAUGUCUUUUAAUUGCUCAACAUACAGCUAUAUACAAACAUAACGCGUACCAGAUUCAAGAUGAAAUUAUUGUUUAUGACUAUAUCUUGCGAUUGAUAUGGUUGCAUGAUUUCCCUGUAUAGUUUAUCUUGUUAGUAAAAUUCUUAUUAUAAUAAUGAUACUAAAUAU